rnacentral:lncRNA from 1 species
GGACAUCAUGGAAAAGUUGUCUCUACUAGUUCCUUGCGAUUCUCAAGGUGAGUUUGAAAUUAUGUCUUAGAGUUUCAUUGCUGUGAGGUGCCACCAUGACCAAGACAACUCUUAUAAGGACAGCAUUUAAUUGGGGGCUAGCUUACAGGUUCAGAGGUUCAGUCCAUAAUCAUCAAGGCAGGAGCAUGGCAGCAUUUAGGCAGGCAUGGUGCAGGAGAAGCUGAGAGUUCUACAGCUUCAUCUGAAGGCUGCUAGCAGAAUACUGGCUUCCAGGCAGCUAAGAUGAGGGUCUUAAAAAGCCCACACCCACAGUGACACACCUACUCCAACAGGACCACACCUUCUAAUAGUGCCACUCCCUGGGCCAAGCAUAUAUAAACCAUAAAAGUUGCAUUUCGAGAAAAAAAAUCACUCUCAAUUCCCCUUUCAAUAAAAUAGAUAUAACAAAGUGUCCCCCGACACUUCUGCUAAGAUUAAAUAAAUGCACCGAAAGCAACUUGGUGGAGUUACACUGGGGUUACCAUCACCUUUCCAUAGUAUUCUUCACAUACAGCUAAUUGGGUUGCUUCGUAAAAAAAAACUAUUGUAAAUGCACAGACAAAAACUUAAAGUGCAUUUAGCACACCUAAUCUACUGUGCAUUGCAGCCUCGUCAAACAGCCUUCUGUAGGGUACUGGCAUUUCCUCACUUGACUGUGGCUGACUGGUGGCCACAGCUCACUGCUCAGGCCAGCCUUGAGAGGGAAGUUGGGUCCUACACCACCAGCCACGCCACACAUGAAAGAUUCUGGGAUAGCUUUGGCUGAAGCAUUGUGUUUUCUCAGUGUCAUGAAGGUCCCGAGGCAUAAGUAGGCUGUGUACAUACAUCAUUCUUUAAGUUUCCCAGGUUUCAGUUUCUCACUGCCAGGGAGACAUCUCCAUCUCUGAUUGCCUCGAGUGUCCAAAUGAAUAGAGCACAGUGACUCUCACUCCACAUGCCCACUGAAGAAGCCCACUCCUGUCCGUGUGCUCAUUUUGCUUAGUCACUAUUUUAGUCUUAGGAAUAUUUUAGCACAUUGAGCUAUAAUUAUAGAUACUUGGGACUUGGAGGGAUAGCUCAGUGCUUAAGAGCACUGGCUGCUCUUGCUGAGGAUCUGAGUUCUGGUCCCACAUCCAUAGGUUGACUAGCAACCCUUUGUAAUUGCAAGUCCAGGGGAUCUCACACCCUCUUCUGGCCCCUGCAGGCACUACACACUGGCAGUGCACAGACACACAUGUAGGGAUACACAUAGAAUGAAAAUAAAUAAAUCUUUAAAAUUAUGGUUAUUCAAACUAAUCACAUUCUAAAAUGAAUCAAGUCAACAAACAUAAUAUGGUCUGAUCACUGAUACUCUAUUGACUGUAAAUGUAAUUCAUUAUGCUUGCAGGUCCCAGAGGUACUGUCCAGUCCUCCCUUCAUACUAGUUGGCUAGUAGAGAAAUCAAGUGGGAAGGUAAAGGGAGAAGUAUCCCACCCCUCUCUGCUGAGUCAGAGCCAGCUCACACACCACACAGUCAGAGGUAGGUGGAGGGUGUUUCACCACAGAAUAGCUGUGAUGGCUUUUCAUUGCAUUGGAAGACAGUAGAGACAAAAGGUUGAGAUGAACCAGGCUGCUUCCUGGGACAUUCAGGCAUUGAAAAUU